rnacentral:rRNA from 1 species
AUGGAAAACUUCGUUGGCCGUUCGAUUUUAGUCAACCCGGUCUUUUUUGGUUCUUGUCCGUUCGGUCGCUACGUUUUGACUUGUGCGUUUUCACCGGACGGUAGAUCUUGGCCAGCGGAUGACCUGUGGCUGUGGGCUCGGACCGAAUUUCAUUGGCUGGGUGCCAGCUUAUUGGGUGCGAGGGUCAGCCUAUCCUGCCGCGCCGCAUGCAUGCGAGGAAGCCCGGGUCGCGGGCGUUGUGCGCUGCUCCUCGCGUUUUGCGCCUGCGCUUGUGCUGUCCUCAUGACGGGAUAUUUCCUCGUUACCUCGGUCAACUGCUCCUGGCGCGGCGCUCCUCACGCGCUGCCCGCGUCGUGCGUCGUGGGGAGUUUACUGCCUCCUGUGUCAGCUACAGAGGGGUGGGUCGACGCAUGUGCACCCGGAUUGUGCACACGCAUUUGUACUAACGCGAUGACGUGUGGGCUGCCGCUGCUCUGUUGGAGAGAGAGAUGGAUUGGUGCCUACGACGCGCUGGUCGACGCGGCGGCCGCCGCAGUCCGUGAGCCCGGGUGCACGGUGGCGCUCACGGACCUCCACCGCUGCCUUGAUGCCUUCAGCGAGUCCUGCGACCGAGCCGAGGGCCUCGUCCAGGCGGCCGCCGCCGGCCUCGGCCCCGUCGCCACCCGCCACGAUGAGCUGUGCCGCGCUGUUCGCGCGGUCGACAAGGAUCUCCGGGCCGCCGAGGAGAACGAGAUGGAAGAGGAGAAGCAUCGCCCUCCGACCACGCCGCUGGCGGCCGAGGACAAAUAG